ensembl:lncRNA
GGAUGAAAUAUUUCUUUUAAUUUUACUAUUAACUUGUAUACUUUGCUCAAAUAGCAUGCUUGGCCACCUACAGAGAAACUGGUGGCUAGGCAAAAGACAAACGACCAAUCCUGAGCAGAAACGUCACUACAGGCAUUUUACAGCAUGGUUCAGCGUGUUCAAGAAUUCUUGAUCAAGACUGGUUUGUAAUCAGACUAUACCUAACCAAGUUCAAGUGGAAAUAUAACUGAAACUGCUCCUAAACAUUAAUUGAAAAGUUUGGCCCAAAAAGUAGAUUAAACUGCUCCAUUAAUCUGGAUUUAUUUUAUGGUUUCUUUAGGAACAUAUUGAAGUGUCAGAGUUAAAUACCUUCAUUCGUGCCAUGAAGAUGAACAAGUUUUAUGGGAUGAAAUUACAUAAGAUUAAACGGCAUAAUUUUCAUUUUUGCAUGAACUAGGUAUAUAAUCAACAUUAAUCUUUAUACAAAUAUCUCAGUAAUAUACCAGCAAAUACAAAGCAAAUUUUCCCACAAUUAUGUACUUGUUUAAGCUGUAACUAUGAGAGCUUACACUCAAAAAAAUGCUGGGUUGUUUCUGUAAACAAAUUGUUGGGUUGAUUGUGCUGGGUCAAAAAGUUGGGUUGUUUGGGGUACUGUAAACACAUUAUUGGGUUGCUCAUGCUGGGUAAAAUGAUUUGUAACGGGGUCAUUCACAAAUAAACAGUUGGUUGGGUUAUUUUGACCCAGCAACUGGUUUAUUACUUUUUCAUUCUUUGCGGAACUUUCUGGAUUCUUCACUUCUGACUGGAGGAGGCACGCACUCGGAGCGGGCAGUGUUUUAUGAUUUCACAAGAUUUCUGUAUCCUGUAUCCUGAUGCAGCGAGGAAACUGUUUGAAAACUGGACCACGAUAAGUGAAAGAAUUCUUCCAUAUGCCCAGCGAGAGGGUAAACUGCCCUCAGUACUGGGUGACAUGACACCAGCUGCUAAAGAGGAGACAGCUUUGAAGGUCCUGCCAACUCUGCUUCCCCCAUCCAUCUACAGGAGAGGAGGAAAGGUCUUCAGACCCACCACAGAGGAGGCCCAGAAGUCAUUUAUUGACAUGCAACCUGUUGGGACCAACAUGGUUGAAUAUUUAAACCAUGAGAUGACUGGAGCAUUGCUGCACAUUCUGUGCCUCAGUGAUGAGACAAGGGGGACAUCACAGACCUUUGCCAUUAUUCCAGGCCACGCCAUUGAGACUGUGUCUUUGUUGGAGGCGGUUGAUCUUUGCUUUAAAGCUUUUUUUGUUUUUGAUGUUCAGUACACCAAGCAGUGUCUCCCCACCUGGGAGUUUCUCCAGCAUGCUGUAUAUCAAAUUGAAGGAAAAGAGUCCUCCUCUGUAAAGUUUUUGAGGACAACAGUGGUUUCAGGCCCACAUGAUAUGUAGAUGAUUUUAAAAUGUAUUUUGUUGCUGUUCUUAAAUCAACACAUCUUAAUAAAUUAAAUUGUAAUCGUAUGAGAGUUCAAAUUAGUUGUUUAAUGACUUUUAAUGCCUGAAUAUUUGGACAGAUUUACAUUUGUUAUAAAGUCUGUGGGGAAGGGUGAAUGUCAGAGGGUGUGUGGGUGGGGGUUGGGAUGGGGGGGUAAAGAAUGUAUUCAAUAUUGUAUACAAACAAAGUAUUAAAGAAAUGUAUUGUUUUUAAAGAAAUAAUAUGUUUUAAAUUAAAUGAGAUUGAAAUCACAUAUACAUGGCCUCUCUGGUUUAUUGUAUUACAGAGACAAUAAUUAUUUUACAUUCGUAAUAUAAAAUAUAUUUGUAACUAAUGUAUAAAGGCAGUGAGACAGGAAAUAAUCUAUUUAUUAUUAAAUAAUAACUAUUUAUUUGACUAAACUAUUUGUUUGACUUAACCCAGCAAGAGGGUUAAUUUUACCCACUGGUUGGGUCAAAUGAAUGACCCAGUAAUAUGGGUUAAACGGUAAAACCCAGCACUUGGGUCAAACCAACCCAGCGCGUGUUCUGUCCAAUAGUGACCCAGCAGCGUGGUUAAGGUUGGGUUAUUUUUUAACCCAGCAGUUUUUAGAGUGUACAAAGCGAGUUAGUAGUAGAAGUAUCUAGGGUAAUCACAAAGUAAAACAGGUAGGGCUCAGAUAGGUACAGUUUUGUAAAUCUGGGUUCUAGAAGUAAAAUGUUUUUUUAAAAAAGAUACAAGUAAAGUCUAACACAUUCAAAAAAUACAGUACAAAUAUUUGUCAAAGUGUCAAUAAAGUCAUCCACAUUGUUUAUUUUAAUUAGCAACAUACAUUUUAGGGGUUGUAGGGUGUGAAAUGUCAUCUUAGAUCUGAAAAAAAAAAAAAAAGAUAAAACAUAGAGUGGUUACAGGUGUACUGCAACCACAAGAAAUUAUUUGAAAUUGUAAAUAAAGUGUAGAGUACAGAGAUUCAAGAGUCAAACACUGCUCUACUGCUGGGUAUAACAGUUUAAAAUAAAAUACUUCACCUCCAGUGUACUGAGGCCUGUGUGAUGAGACCGCUGUUCAGAGAAAGCAGUUGCCACAAACACUUGUCCUAAAUACGAAAAAUACUUCUUCAGUUAAAGGGAAGUUCCACUAGUGUUGUGGCUUGUAGAUAACAUUCAUUUCUUAAUAUUUGCAUUCUUUACAAGGAUUACAGAAAGAAAGAAAGAAAGAAAGAAAGAAAGAAAGAAAGAAUAUUUCUAUACAUAAUCUAUUUGAGGUCUCAGUCAUAAAACCAAUCCAAAAGCAGCAUUUCCUCUGUAUCACUGUACUAUGUUCCAACACAGCAAAUAAAUAACAAUUACUGCAAGACAAAGAGCUCAUUAAGUUUAAACCUUAAGGUACAAUCAUGAAAUGUUUAUGAUUGUGAUGUUUUAAGAAUAUUUUGACAAUAAAACUUUAAACUGAAAAAUAACUUUAACCCAAAAAGUGACCAAAGCAUCACAGUGUUAUAAAAUUAUCGAGGGAACUCUGCAAAAGAUUACAGUAUCAGUGGCACCUAAAUAUUGACUUUAAAACCUGCUGAGAGCUCAUCUUGGCGACUUUUGGCAUGUUCUUGAAUUAUACCUCGAAAUUUCCAUGCUGUAAUUUUUAACUAGUUACAAAGUGUUCAAUCUGAGACAGUUUAAAAAAAAAAAAAUCCUUUCAUUUGCCAAAAUACGCCACAAAUUCUAACAGCAGAUUAGCCCAGAUCUAUGGCACCUGUAACCACCGUGUGUCUACACUGGAUGUGAUCGUUGACCCGUCAUGUCGCACCGCAACAGUUAGAAUCUGUCCACACUAGACACAAACAUUCCUGGGAGAUUUACAAAUAAUGACUGAGAUUACACUCAAUCCCAGAUCCAGUUUGUAUCCAGCUCAGAUGGUCACUGCAGUCACCCAGAUCCAGUACGUAUCCAGACCAGAUGGUGGAUCAGCACCUAGAAAGGACCUCUACAGCCCUGAAUGGCAGCGUAGACCAGGACAACUAGAUGAGCCCCAGAUACAGAUCCCCUGUUUUCCUAAUUAAUGUUGUUCAGUUGCUUUGACACAAUCUGUUUUGUUUAAAGUGCUAUAUAAAUAAAGGUGACUUGACUUGACUAAAUACAUUUUUCUCAUGCCAACUUAAUCAAGUGAGUUGUUUACUUUUAAAAUGCAUUCAUCAUAAUGAGAUGUUUAUAUAUAUUUAUAAUUACAAUGAAAGUAAACAUUUUGGCUGUGUAUCAAUUUUAAAUGAAAGAUUAGUGAACAGUAAAGUAGAAUUGAAAAUGAAUCCGGGCCACGUCCGGCGCGCUGUGCACUUUAGUGUCAGGCCGAUUCCGGCUCGGAUGCGCCAGUGUCGGCUCACUGACGGCCGCCGCAUCUGGCCCGUUUGACUCUUGUGCGGCAGACGGAGUUGGGCCGAGUGUUAAGUCUCCGGCAGGCAAGAAUCCAACCGGAACUGGCCCGAGUGUAUUUUGCUAUCUGGGCAAGGUCAAGACAAUAAACUAUGAUUCCGUAUUUUAAGGAACUUCGUGUCCCUGGCCAAAAAUAAUCGCGGUAGGACGGCAUAAUUCGGUAAAAAUAUGUAACACAGAACAUUUCCUAAAAAUGCAUUCAGAUACGUUUGUACAUGUCUAUAGUUCUAUGGGGUUGCAUGUAUAAUUGUUACUUUGUCAUUUAGCUACGUGUAGUUCAAUAUAUACCCUGUUGUGAAUUGGUUGUGAUUGGUUGUGGUUUUACGCGUGCAUUUAUAGUCCAUCAUCACCCUCAAUGAAAUACUUGUGAAAUAUGCAAAAGCUGUGCUUACACCUUGGUUAAUACUGCAAUAAUUAAUUUAAGUGCACCACGUAGUUUUUAAGAGGUUUUUAAGAGGUUGUGAAUAAACGUCCACUGACGUCUUUUACACGUCUAGUCAAUGUUGUGAAAAGACAUCCAAGCAAGAGUAGCAGGAAAAAAAACAGGAAUCAUCUUUAUGAAAUACACGAUUUGUAUACAAAGUAAAUAUAUUUCUGAGUUGGAUGUAAUUGCCAAAACUGUGCUGCCAAGAUGUAGUAACAAAAGAUAGUAAUACAUUUUGUGAUAUUACAAAAUCCCAAAAUAGGAUAGAUUAUCUCGCGAGAUAGUGUUAAUGUGUUCUUCCGGUAGGAGCAUUGAACAACCACGAGGAGAGAAGGAAUCGAGGAAGGAGUUGUAUCGAUAUAUAUUAUAUAAAAUCUACUUUUGGGUAAGUACAUUUUGCAUUAUUUGAUUAACGUGCUUGAGUUUUACUUGUUUGACAUGAAGGAACCGAGAGAAAUGAUGCCCGCUUUGUCAACUGAAAUUCACUGAGUAUGGCUAAAAUUAGCUAACGUUAGAAGGCUAAAAGUUACUUUGAAUUUAUGCAUGGUAUACCAUAGUAUAAAGUAUGUUUAAUGAUACAGUCAAAGUUAUUACUGUAAGUUAUUAAUGUAGCCUUGUUCCUUGUAUAUUGAUGUAAUUUUUAUUGGUAUGCUUUAUCUAUUCAGGGGACAUCACAGCCCACCUGUCUUUAUCAGAAAUGUCCUGUUCACUUUCUCACGGUUACACACCUAGUUAAGGGUCUUUCUCAAGGGCACCACAGUGGUAUUGAAGAGGAAGGGGACAAAUGCUGUUUUCCCCCAAAUGAUCUAACACCCAUUUAAAGCAGAACAUCUUUUAUACAAUAAAAUAAAAUCUAAUGCAUGUUGAUUACCUUUUUCUAAUGUUUCAUUCAUGAUUCAUUCAUCUUGUUCCAAUUUUUUUUUUUUUUUUUUUUUUUUUUUUUUUUUUUUUUUUUUUUUUUUUUUUUUUUUUUUUUUUUUUUUUUUUUUUUUUUUUUGCUGUAGACCAUAAAGAUAUUUUGAAAAUAAGUGCAUGUCAUUUACCUCAAAUUUUUCAUUUUAUUUAUUUUAAAAAGAAAUAUAUUGUCUUCCCUCAGAUGCUGUGAAGAGGUGGAGACUCUGAAAUUGAUGCAGCAAGGGCAGAACACCUAAAGCAUGGUCCAGGAAGAGCUGGGGGUGCUGGUUACAAGAAAUGAGCCAAACAACUGUAAUGUGUUUAAGGGAUAGUUCACCCAAAACGAAAAUAGUCAUUUUUCUCAUCCUCAUGUUUCAAACCUGUAUACCUUUCUAUGUUCUGAUGAACACAAAGAUAUUUGGUAGAAUGUUUGUAACCAAGCAGAUCUCGCCUACCAUUAACUAUCAUAAUCAUUUUUUCCCUACAAUGGUCGUUAAUGGGAUGUGAGAUCUGCCUGGUUACAAACAUUCUUCCAAAUAUCUUUGUGUUUAUUAGACAACUGUGUAAGUCAAUGUCAAGAUUAAUAAAGACAUGAUAAAAAGAAUCCGUCUUUUAACAUUCUAGUAGAAAACACAUGAACGCAUUCUCAGAAGUAAUAUUUGAAUUCAUGUCGGUUCUAUACAGUUUAAAAUCAUUUACACCACUUUGAUUUUAUAAAUAGCAAUGAUUUCAAACAUAUUUUAUGAUGAGGGUCUUCUAUGUUUUAU